AAACUCUGAUAUAUCCUCAUUUGCUGCAUAAAUCCUUCGCCUUUUACUAAAGAUUUCCGUGAGCAGUCACAAUACAAUGAGUCUUAUCUCUUUUGUUCCAGCUCUGUCUUUCGAUAAAGU
rnacentral:snRNA from 1 species